rnacentral:rRNA from 1 species
AGUAAAAGUCGUAACAAGGUUUCCGUAGGUGAACCUGCGGAAGGAUCAUUAACGAGUUUUGAAACGAGUUGUAGCUGGCCUUCCGAGGCAUGUGCACGCUCUGCUCAUCCACUCUACCCCUGUGCACUUACUGUAGGUUGGCGUGGGCUCCUUAACGGGAGCAUUCUGCCGGCCUAUGUAUACUACAAACACUUUAAAGUAUCAGAAUGUAAACGCGUCUAACGCAUCUAUAAUACAACUUUUAGCAACGGAUCUCUUGGCUCUCGCAUCGAUGAAGAACGCAGCGAAAUGCGAUAAGUAAUGUGAAUUGCAGAAUUCAGUGAAUCAUCGAAUCUUUGAACGCACCUUGCGCUCCUUGGUAUUCCGAGGAGCAUGCCUGUUUGAGUGUCAUGGAAUUCUCAACUUAUAAAUCCUUGUGAUCUAUAAGCUUGGACUUGGAGGCUUGCUGGCCCUUGUUGGUCGGCUCCUCUUGAAUGCAUUAGCUCGAUUCCGUACGGAUCGGCUCUCAGUGUGAUAAUUGUCUACGCUGUGACCGUGAAGUGUUUUGGCGAGCUUCUAACCGUCCAUUAGGACAACUUUUAAACAUCUGACCUCAAAUCAGGUAGGACUACCCGCUGAACUUAAGCAUAUCAAUAAGCGGA